GCUGGGAAAGAAGAGAAGGAAAGGAAGAAGAAGAGAAAGGAAGAAGGGAAGGAGAGGAAGAAGAGAAGGGGCUACGGCUGCGGCGAUGGCAGCUGCAGUUGGAAGAGAAGAAGGAGAGGAAGAUGAGCAGGGGAGGAAGAAGAGGCUGCGACGGUGGUGGCUGCAGUAGCUGCAGUAGCUGCUUUUGGGAAAGAGAAAGAGUAGGAACGAGAGAAGGGAAGAAGGAAAUAGUGCAGUGGAAGGGGGCUGCGGUUGUGACCGCAGUUGCGGUCGUGGCUGCGAUUGUGGCAGCGGCAGCGACGGCGGCUGUGGCAGCUGUGUUUGGGAAAGAAAAAGAAGGAAUGAGAGUAAGAGAGAGCAGGUGACUGUGCCUCGAUGUUCGACACGUGGUGUAGUUGCGAAGAAAGGAAGAAAACGGGAGCACAAAACGAAACAGAGAGAGGACACGGAGGAAAAGUAGAAAGAUUGGAUUGGCACCUUCCUUGGAUAUUCAGAUCAAAAUAUUUGAAAGGCAAGUUUCCCGCUUGUUUCGAUCCUUUCUAUUGCAAGUUCCCUGAUCGUUUCUCCUAUAAUUACUCUGAUAUGUCUUAUUGCAAGUGUUCUAACCUUUUCUAUUGCAAGCUUUCUAAUCUUUUCUCUUGCAAGUAUCCUGAUUUGUUCCUCACUGCCAUUUUUAUCUCUACAUUUGCUUUGAAUAUGAGGAACUUUGAAUCA